AGUGAACGUUGGCGGCGUGCCUAACACAUGCAAGUCGUACGAAACCCAAGGAGCUUGCUUUUUGGGAAAAGUGGCGAACGGGUGAGUAACACGUGAGUAACCUGCCCUCGAGCGGGGAGCAACUUCGCGAAAGCGAAGCUAAUACCGCAUAAUACUCCGGAGCAUAAGCUUUCGGAGUCAAAGCUUUCGAGCGCUUGAGGAUGGGCUCGCGGCCUAUUAGCUAGUUGGUAGGGUAACGGCCUACCAAGGUGACGAUGGGUAGCCGGCCUGAGAGGGUGACCGGCCAUACUGGAACUGCGACACGGUCCAGACUCCUACGGGAGGCAGCAGUGGGGAAUUUUGCGCAAUGGGCGAAAGCCUGACGCAGCGACGCCGCGUGGAGGAUGACGGCCUUCGGGUUGUAAACUCCUGUCAGAGGUGAAGAAAUCUUCGGAUUGACGGUAAC
rnacentral:rRNA from 1 species